AGUGAACGCUGGCGGUAGGCCUAACACAUGCAAGUCGAACGGCAGCACAGUAAGAGCUUGCUCUUACGGGUGGCGAGUGGCGGACGGGUGAGGAAUACAUCGGAAUCUACUUUUUCGUGGGGGAUAACGUAGGGAAACUUACGCUAAUACCGCAUACGACCUACGGGUGAAAGCAGGGGAUCUUCGGACCUUGCGCGAUUGAAUGAGCCGAUGUCGGAUUAGCUAGUUGGCGGGGUAAAGGCCCACCAAGGCGACGAUCCGUAGCUGGUCUGAGAGGAUGAUCAGCCACACUGGAACUGAGACACGGUCCAGACUCCUACGGGAGGCAGCAGUGGGGAAUAUUGGACAAUGCGCGGAAGCCUGAUCCAGCCAUACCGCGUGGGUGAAGAAGGACUUCGGGUUGUAAAGCCCUUUUGUUGGGAAAGAAAAGCAGCAGGUUAAUACCCCGCUGUUCUGACGGUACCCAAAGAAUAAGCACCGGCUAACUUCGUG
rnacentral:rRNA from 1 species